CACUGAUAGUUUCCUGCCAUUUUGUGUCAUCAGUGGUACUUGGGUCCCAGAAAUGGACUGGUUCUUACUAAGCAGUGGGAAUGCAGCAAUGAGCAGUGAGUAUCACUAAAGAGCGGACCCUUACACCAAUUCCUCUCAUUGUUGAUUUCAACAGGUUGUUGCAACUGAAGAAGAUCUCGUCCCACCCAGUCUGCGGGAGCCAUCCCCCAGAGCAGACGGGCUAGACCACAGAAUCGCAGCUCACAUUGUGUCCCUUCUGCCCUCACUCUGUCUCUCAGAGAGGGAGAAAAAGAAUCUUCAUGACAUAUUUUUAUCUGAAGAAGAAAAUGAAAGCAAAGCAGUGCCCAAAGGCCCCCUCCUACUGAACUAUCAUGAUGCACACGCCCACAAGAAGUACGCACUACAGGACCAAAAGAAUUUUGAUCCAGUUCAAAUUGAGCAGGAGAUGCAGUCCAAGUUGCCACUGUGGGAAUUUCUUCAAUUCCCUCUACCCCCACCAUG
rnacentral:lncRNA from 1 species